CGGACGGGUGAGUAACGCGUGGGUAACCUGCCUUAUACAGGGGGAUAACAGUCAGAAAUGGCUGCUAAUACCGCAUAAGCGCACAGAGCUGCAUGGCUCAGUGUGAAAAACUCCGGUGGUAUAAGAUGGACCCGCGUUGGAUUAGCUAGUUGGUGGGGUAACGGCCCACCAAGGCGGCGAUCCAUAGCCGGCCUGAGAGGGUGAACGGUCACAUUGGGACUGAGACACGGCCCAGACUCCUACGGGAGGCAGCAUG
rnacentral:rRNA from 1 species